rnacentral:lncRNA from 1 species
CCCGCCCCUCGUUCGGGGCUGGCUGAGGGCUCCGAGGCCCCACCGCAGCGCGUCUCUCCGGUGAAUGGCCGAGGGCUGGGUGGGGCUGCGGUGGGCAGCGGUGGCCUUUCUCCUUCACACACAUACACAUGCCUUCCAAAUGUGCAUGGCUUGGGAUUCGCGUAUUUGUUUAAGAGACGACGGCCACAUCCUUUUGUUCGGCGUUCAGCAGACUCCUCCGAGUUCCGGGAUUUCUCCCGACUGAGGCGUCUCCGUCUCAGUACUCUCGGAGGAAAGCCUCGAGGGGCAGAACUGCCCUCUGUUGUUUCACGGGGCUGGAACCUCCCUCUCCGCAGCCCAAAGAAUCCGGAUGGACCCGCCUUUCCCAGAACCGGAGACCUUGGCCUCCUCAGGCUCCCCUCUGACUCAAACAAAAGCCGGAAUUGGAAAGACCACCCCUUUGAUGUGUUCGCUGUAAUCGACGUCCUGCUUUCCUCAACCGCCCAUUCCCUUAGCCUUCUUAGUUGACAGGAAUAUUGAGUAUUUGCAAGGAUGCGAAGCCAGAAAAAAAAAAAAGACUUUUAAUUCUAUAAAUCGUCCCGCUGCGUGCGCGCGUCUGUCCGUACAGCGCGGUGCCCACCCCGAGAGAGGGCCUGGAUUCACCAAGGCUGGGGGCCUUGAGGGCUUUUUAGGGCACGUGAAAGGAAAAUGGAGUUAGAGUUGUGUCGGGAUAGAGAGUGGGAUCAUUUUGCACUCAAGGAAUUGAGAAGAUCCCGUUGGUACCGCAGUUUCCAAGGAUUUGUGUAGUGCGUUUUUUGGAUCUGGUUUGUACAAGCGACCAGUAUAGGAGACGGGAUCCCUCCCGCCCUUACACCCCGCUGCGGGGUCAGCCGACGUGGGUGGGAUUUUGCUGGCGGCGAGGGGAGAAGGUGACGUGCGUGGCGCCAUGAUCGGAAGUCUGGACUGAAUUCUUAGCUGCGAGGUGGAAAAUGCGCGUGGGAGGGCGAUCUUGAGGGGUGAAGUCUGGCCUUCCCAUCUCCUACCAGGCAGGAGGGUUAUGCUGAAGGCUGGUUUUGCUGGUCUUUCAUUGUGGCUAAGGGCAGUUCCACAGAUACAGUCAUAGAUAGACUCCUUAAGUCAUGCUCUGCUUGCUUCUUCUAGUCCGCUGUUACCUCUUUAUCUGAAUUUGAUGUAAAUAAAUCUCCACAUUCCUUAAACUGGUUCUGUUAUACUAAACAUCUUCCAUAAUUAGGGGUUGUAGCAAUACCAACCCCGGAUUCUAAGACUCUUUUUAGUUGAAAUAUGUUUAUGCUGUUUACCCUUUAGACAGAGAAAAAAAAAUUCUACCUAGUAAAAUCCCUUAAAAAGACGAAGAGCAUAUGCUUUGAUUCAUUAGCUUUAUUUAUUUAGGUUUUAUUUAUUUAUUUAUUUAUUUAUUGAGGCGGAGUCUUGCUCUGUCGACCAGGCUGCGGUGCAGUGGCGCGAUCUCGACUCACUGCAACCUCC